ensembl:lncRNA
AAGAGCAGAAGGACAACAUUAAAUGCUGUUUAACAUUGUUUAGCAUCUGUGUAAUUAGAUUUCCAGAAGGAAAAUAAAGAUAUAACAGAGCAAAAGAAACAUUUAAAGAAAUAAUUUGAGAGACUCUUCCAAAAUUAGUGACGGACACUAAAAAAAAGAUCUACGAGGGAAGAUGGCGGAAGAGUAAGACGUGGAGAUCACCUGCCUUCCCACAGAUACAUCAGAAAUACAUCUACACACGGAACCGCUCCUAUAGAACACCCACGGAUCUCUGGCAGAAGACCUCAGACCUCCCAAAAGGCAAGAAACUCCCCACGUACCUGCAUAGGGCAAAAGAAAAAAAAAAAAACAGAGACAAAAGGAUAGGGACGGGACCUGCACCAGUGGGAGGGAGCCGAGAAGGAGGAAAGGUUUCCACACACUAGAAGCCCCUGCGUGGGCGGAGACUGCGGGUGACGGAGGGGGGAAGCUUCGGAGCCUCGGAGGAGAGCUCAGCAACACGGAUGUGGAGGGCAAAGCAGAGAGAUUCCCGCACAGAGGAUCAGGGCCGACUGGCACUCACCAGCCCGAGAGGCUUGUCUGCUCACACACGGGGACGGGCGGGGCUGGGAACUGAGGUUCCGGCUUCAGUUGGAGCGCAGGGAGAGCACUGGGGUUAGCGGCGUGAAAACAGCCUGAAGGGGUUAGUGCGCCACAGCUGGCCGGGAGGGAGUCCGGGAAAACGUCUGGAGCUGCCGUUUCUUCCCUCUUUGUUUCCUGGUGCACGAGGAUAGGGGACAAAGAGCUCUGCUUAAAGGAACUCCAGAGACGGGCGAGAGCUGCGGCUAACAGCGCGGACCCCAGAGACUGGCAUGAGGCACUGAAGCUGCUGCUGCCGCCACCAAGAAGCCUGUGUGCAAGCACAGGUCACUCUCCACACCGCCCCUCGCGUGAGCCUGUGCAGCCCGCCACUGCCAGGGUCCCGUGAUCCAGGGAAAACUUCCCCGGGAGAAUGCACGGCGCUCUUCAGGCUGUUGCAACGUCCCGCCUGCCUCUGCCGCCGCAGGCUCGUCGCGCAUCGUGCCCCUCCCUCCCCAUGGCCUGAGUGAGCCAGAGCCCCCGAAUCAGCGGCUCCUUUAACCCCGGCCUGUCUGAGCGAAGAACAGACGCCCUCAGGCGACCUACACGCAGAGGCGGGGCCAAUUCCAAAGCUGAGCCCCAGGAGCUGUGAGAACAAAGAAGAGAAAGGGAGAUGUCUCCCAGCAGCCUCAGGAGCAGCGGAUUAAAGCUCCACAAUCAACUUGAUGUACCCUGUAUCUGUGGAAUACCUGAAUAGACAACGAAUCAUCCCAAAUUGAGGAGGUGGACUUUGGAAGUAAGAUAGAUUAUUUUUUCCCUGUUUCCUCUUUUUGUGAGUAUGUGUAUGCUUCUGUGUGAGAUUUUGUCUGUAUAGCUUUGCUUUCACCAUUUGUCCUAGGGUUCUGUACCUCCAUAUUUUUUACUUCAAAAAAUUUCUUUUCUUAAUAAUUAUCUUUUAUUUUAAUAACGUUAUUUUAUUUUAUCCUCUUUCUUUCUUUCUUUCUUCUUCCUUUCUUUCUAUUUUUUCUCCCUUUUACUCUGAGCCGUGUGUAUGAAAGGCUCUUGGUGCUCCAGCCAGGAGUCAGGGCUCUGCCUCUGAGGUAGGAGAGCCAACUUCAGGACAUUGGUCAACAAGAGACCUCCCAGCUCCACAUAAUAUUAAAUGGCAAAAAUCUCCCAGAGAUCUCCAUCUCAACACCAGCACCCAGCUUCACUAAACGACUAGGAAGCUACAGUGCUGGACACCCUAUGCCAAACAACUAGCAAGACAGGAACACAACCCCACCCAUUAUCAGAAAGGCUGCCUAAAAUCAUAAUAAGGCCACAGACACCCCAAAACACACCACCAGACGUGGACCUGCCCACUAGAAAGACAAAAUCCAGCCUCAUCCAACAGAACACAGGCACUAGUCCCCUCCACCAGGAAGCCUACACAACCCACUGAACCAACCUUAGCCACUGGGGACAGACACCAAAAACAACAGGAACUAUGAACCUGCAGCCUGCAAAAAGGAGACCUCAAACACAGUAAGAUAAGCAAAAUGAGAAGACAGAAAAACACACAGCAGAUGAAGGAGUAAGGUAAAAACCAUCCAGAACUAACAAAUGAAGAGGAAAUAGGCAGUCUAUCUGAAAAAGAAUUCAGAAUAAUGAUAGUAAAGAUGAUCCAAAAUCUUGGAAAUAGAGAAAAUGCAAGAAACAUUUAACAAGGACCUAGAAGAACUAAAGAGGAAACAAGCAACGAUGACCAGGACAAUAAAUGAAAUUAAAAAUACUCUAGGAGGGAUUAAUAGCAGAAUAACUGAGGCAGAAGAAAGGAUAAGUGAUCUGGAAGAUAAAACAGUGGAAAUAACUACUGCAGAGCACAAUAAAGAAAAAAGAGGGGCUUCCCUGGUGGCGCGGUGGUUGGGAGUCCGCCUGCUGAUGCAGGGGGCGCAGGUUCGUGCCCCAGUCUGGGAGGAUCCCACGUGCUGCGGAGCGGCUGGGCCCCUGAGCCAUGGCUGCUGGACCUGCACGUCCGGAGCCUGUGCUCCACAAUGGGAGAGGCAGUGAGGGGCCUGCGUGCCAC